CGGCGCCCAUAAAAAUGGGCGGAAAAUUUGAAUAAUUGAUUAAAAAAUCAGAAAAAAUCGGAAAAAAUUACAAAGAAUCAGGAAAAAUUAGAAAAAAUUAGAAAAAAAUUGGAAAUAAAUCUGGGAUAGUGUAACUACAUUUGCAUGUCAUAAACAGCAUUCAGGGCCAGAGGAAGAUGCGGUAAUUGACAAAUUAAUUAGAAAAACGGAAGAACAAGGAAAAAUUGGGGAAAAAUUCUGGAAUAGUGCAUCUUGAUGGUCUCUCUCGUUCACCUCGACGUGCGUGGCUCCACGCGCAAAUGACGGUUGCAGGUAAUUUAUCAUCUUUAACGCGUGUCAUUCGGCAACAUGCACAGAGUGCAGCGUACUUCACUCUCCUCCUUGAAUCUCAAAACGUUUUCCAAGAGGUUUGCUUCGAGUCCAACUGGUUGCCCGCACCUCGGACGACUCAGUACAGCUCUGUACAACUAUCCAUUUGCUCAGGCAGACCAAGGAGAUUUUAUUCUGCGCUUGAAAGACACGAAUCAAACAGAACUCGUACCAGAUGCUACCGGUACACAGUGUUUAGACCAUGGACUGGGGCUCUUAGGACAGGACUGUCGAGGCUUAGGCAAACACUGAAGCACGACCAGUCUAGACACCUGAGCUAAGAGGAUCCAAAGGAUCAAUCGAGGCAAGGAGAAUCUUACUGCGUCAGAUCCAAG
rnacentral:misc_RNA from 1 species